ensembl:snRNA U6 U6 spliceosomal RNA
GUGCUCACUUUCAUAUUACUAAAAUUAGAACAAUGCAGAGAAGAUUAGCAUGGCUCCUGGGGAAGGAUGGCAAGCAGAUUUGUGAAGUGUUCCGUAUUUCU